CAGCACUGCCUUCUGCAACACUUGGUUUUAGAAGAGGACAGAGACCCAGCUGCCAAACAUCUUCUCAGACAGGCUCACUCUUGCAGUGUUGUCCCGUGUGUCCUGGAGCUUUCUAUGUAGACCAGGCCAGUUCACAGAGAUCCACCUAUGUCUGCCCUCUGAGUGCUGAGAUUAAAGGUUUCCAAAUCCUCGGUUCGUGGAACCCCACGCAAGU